rnacentral:rRNA from 1 species
UACGGAGGGUGCAAGCGUUGUUCGGAAUUACUGGGCGUAAAGCGCGUGUAGGCGGUUGGGCAAGUCAGAUGUGAAAGCCUUCCGCUUAACGGAAGAAGUGCAUUUGAAACUACCCGGCUGGAGUACGGGAGAGGAGAGUGGAAUUCCCGAUGUAGAGGUGAAAUUCGUAGAUAUCGGGAGGAACACCAGUGGCGAAGGCGGCUCUCUGGUCCGAUACUGACGCUGAGACGCGAAAGCGUGGGGAGCAAACAGG